GGCUUGACGGCUGCGCACAGCAAUGUGUGAGGAAAGUCCGAGCUCCGCAGGACAGAAUAACGGCUAACGGCCGCCGAGGGUAACCUCAGGGAAAGUGCAACAGAGAUAUACCGCCGCAAAAGGCUUUGGCUUUGCCAUUGACGACGCUUUCGCGCCGCCCGUUUGCGGUAAGGGUGGAAAGGCGAGGUAAGAGCUCACCACUUCUUCAGGUAACUGCGGAAGUCUGUAAACCCUAUUCGGAGCAACACUGACGAGGACUAUACGCUUGUCCGGCGUGUCCUGAUAAGUGGCUGGAGCUGCACAGUAAUGUGCAGUCGAGAUAGAUAGUCGUCCCAAUGACAGAACUCGGCUUACUGCCUG
rnacentral:RNase_P_RNA from 1 species